rnacentral:rRNA from 1 species
UACGGAGGGUGCAAGCGUUAUCCGGAUUCACUGGGUUUAAAGGGUGCGUAGGCGGGUUGGUAAGUCCGUGGUGAAAUCCCCAAGCUUAACUUGGGAACUGCCGUGGAUACUAUCAAUCUUGAAUAUCGUGGAGGUAAGCGGAAUAUGUCAUGUAGCGGUGAAAUGCUUAGAUAUGACAUAGAACACCAAUUGCGUAGGCAGCUUACUACACGAUCAUUGACGCUGAGGCACGAAAGCGCGGGGAGCAAACAGG